rnacentral:rRNA from 1 species
UACGGAGGGGGCUAGCGUUGUUCGGAAUUACUGGGCGUAAAGGGCGCGCAGGCGGCUGCUCAAGUCAGGCGUGAAAGGCCUGGGCUCAACCCGGGAAUUGCGCUUGAGACUGGGCUGGCUUGAGUGCGGGAGAGGAUGGUGGAAUUCCCAGUGUAGAGGUGAAAUUCGUAGAUAUUGGGAAGAACACCGGUGGCGAAGGCGGCCACCUGGACGGAUACUGACGCUGAGACGCGAAAGCGUGGGGAGCAAACAGG